CAUGGUCUGCGGUUAAAAGCUCCGGCGGUGAAGGAUGAGCCCGCGGCCUAUCAGCUUGUUGGUGAGGUAAUGGCUCACCAAGGCGACGACGGGUAGCCGGCCUGAGAGGGCGACCGGCCACACUGGGACUGAGACACGGCCCAGACUCCUACGGGAGGCAGCAGUGGGGAAUAUUGCACAAUGGGCGAAAGCCUGAUGCAGCGACGCCGCGUGAGGGAUGACGGCCUUCGGGUUGUAAACCUCUUUCAGCAGGGAAGAAGCGAAAGUGACGGUACCUGCAGAAGAAGCGCCGGCUAACUACGUGCCAGCAGCCGCGGUAAUACGUAGGGCGCAAGCGUUGUCCGGAAUUAUUGGGCGUAAAGAGCUCGUAGGCGGCUUGUCACGUCGAUU
rnacentral:rRNA from 1 species